rnacentral:lncRNA from 1 species
AUAUAACAAAAGUGGGUAGUUGUGUGUGCAGUUUAAUAUGCAAAAUACUUAGUUUCCUAGUAUCACUGUUGUUCAUAGUGGCAGUGGUUCUCCUCAUUCUAUGGGGAGUAGGAGUUUUGUUCAACAAUGACGACCCCGCGACCACCACCGGAAACCAGAGAUUUUUGAACGACGUCACCGGAGCUGGACUCAAACACUUUGGGACUACAUAGACUUAGUUAAAUUUAACAAAGCCUCAAAUGCAUUAAGCCUAAAUGAAGAAAUCAGAUCCUGUUACCUCAUUCACUUCAGUUCACCAAAAUGAAACAGUACACUGUGUUUCUCACUCUUACAAGCUAUGCCGAUAAGGUUGCUAGCGAGAAAACACAAAAAAAAUAUUGUUCAUAAUACUAGAAUAAGAACUAAUAAUCCGUUUGCACGCUCAAAAUAAUAGUAUUUGAGGCUUAAAUCUAUCAUCUUGUCUUUAAUCAUCAUCAUCCUCCGCAUAUGACUACGAUCCCGGAAAAGUUCCGUAAAUUUACGUCUGACCCUUAGGUCUAAGACAUCUGGGAUGAGAAUCAUAAUUUAUAAGAUGUGUACAAAUCGAACCAACAAUGACAAAGCAGUAGUGUUCGCUAAUCUUUAUGUGUCCUGUUUUGAUGUUUUGCCGGACGCCAAAGCCUACAUUCGAAAAUCAAACGCUAACGUUCUUUGGCCCGGUGUAUACACGACUUUACAUAAUAUAUUUUCUUUGAUACGCACAUACCUAUUAAGCUUUAAGUAAUUUAUGCGUAAAUGGAAAACUUCACAUAUAACAUUUUUUAUAAAAUGAAAAAUGUUUUAUCGUCAGUUUUUCCAUAUAAUGCUAACCUCAUUUUUUACGUUACGUACAUUUACAACACUUAAGAACUUAAUUUAUUUAAAUACUAAGAUGAAUACUUUUUCAUAUGAAUUUAUAUAAAUAUUUAUGAAUUAUCAUAAUAUGUGUAUAUAUAAUGAAAAAAGAUAUUUUAUUAUGUAUAACUCUUAUAGGCAUAAAUACGGUAUUAUUUUCUACACAGUUUUGUAAAUAUAAUGUCAUGGGACUGAUA